GAUGAAGAACGCAGCGAAAUGCGAUAGUAAUGUGAAUUGCAGAAUUCCGUGAAUCAUCGAAUCUUUGAACGCACAUUGCGCCCCCUGGCAUUCCGGGGGGCAUGCCUGUCCGAGCGUCAUUUCUGCCCUCAAGCACGGCUUGUGUGUUGGGUGUGGUCCCCCCGGGGACCUGCCCGAAAGGCAGCGGCGACGUCCGUCUGGUCCUCGAGCGUAUGGGGCUCUGUCACUCGCUCGGGAAGGACCUGCGGGGGUUGGUCACCACUAUAUUUUACCACGGUUGACCUCGGAUCAGGUAGGAGUUACCCGCUGAACUUAAGCAUAUCAAUAAGCGGAGGA
rnacentral:misc_RNA from 1 species